CUUCAGUCUCAUCUGUGUGGCAGCAGGUUAGACAGCGCUCCCUUGCAAAGCAUUUACACUUGUGUAGUUGUUUUUGGAAGGCUUGUUCGAGGCACAAUCAGUGCCUCCAGUUGUCACACAUGAAGAAGGCCUCAGUGGAAUCUCUUCUUAUGUAAUUAUGUGUGCAAGCAGUGGGCGAAUCGGGACCUAGGAGCUCGGCAACCGCUACCAGGCAGCGGUGAAAACCAGGAAUAGCAAAGUUCCAGACGCUCCGGGCACCCUGAAUGGAAACCGUGCUAGAGGGAAAAAGCAGUUUCUCGCACCUGGCGAAUCAGCGAUAUGCCUGACGCGGGAUUGAGUGCUGUCUCACAAAUGUGGUUCGCUUGUCGCUGGUAUUCACCAGGAGAACGGCUACGAAAAAAUUGAGAGGCAUGUCCGCAGACCUACGAAAUUAGAGGAGGCGCGCCACCACAUGCGACGAAAGGACACAGUAACGGGUCGCGGCAGGAAGCACACUGAAUGGGAAAGAUGGGAAAGCUCACGUCCAUGCACUGAGACACGGCAAAUUGGUUGUCAACCUGCGCAUGAUGCUAGUGACGGUUGAGUAAAGUGUGUGCGACUGAAGAUCAAGGGCACUAUUACCACGCACCAUUCGGAUCCUUGGAAUCAAGUGUUUCUUUAGGUUCAACAACUGGUUCCCUGUUAAGUUCAUCAAUUGAACUUAGUACUCCACGGUGGCAUACGAACUCCUGGGAUGUCUUUCUAUCGCCACCACCCAUCCUGUUUUCAAUGUAACAACGACUUGGUCCAUUCAGUCUUCUCCAGUUCCGUCGAACACUAGUGACUGUUGACUGGCGACUCCAGGGUGUGCAGGUUUGGAGCGUCUGUUUAGUUCCGCAAUCCAACAGCAAAUCCUCAAUGUUUUGAGUGUUUCCUUCCUUUCCUUGUUCCUUUGUAAAAGUUGCUCCAAACAGAAAUCCACACUCUACCACGCAGUUCUGGC
rnacentral:lncRNA from 1 species